rnacentral:lncRNA from 1 species
AAGAAACCAAUUUGCCAUGGCAACAGACCACUCAGAUGCUGGCCCCUCCUCCAGGCCCAGCCAACUACUGCCCCUUCCUGAAGGACAGUCUAACCUCCUUGGCAGCAGGCAGAAGCCAGGAAGGCACUCCUGGAGGAAGCGGGUGUCAGGCUGCCUGGCUUGAGGCCAUGCGUGGCUGAUUGCUGACCCGUGUCUCUGAGCGUCUUCCUAGCAGAGAGCCAGACCAGAGUUCCCCCACUCUCCUUCAGUUUCAACCUUUCAAAACCCAUGUCAUGGACACCAAGACUCCAGGGACUUCCGGAAAUAGCCUUCUUUAGGCUGUCUGCUGAGCCAAAUGGGAAACUGAGGCCCAGAUGGAAGAGAGGCAAUACUGAUGCUGAUCUGGAGCUAACUAGCUACAGCAGACUCUGCCAGCUGGUGACUUGGACAAGCAUAUCUACCCAGCUACCUCUUUGCUGUCAGUUGAGGAUAAAACCAGCACCUGCUCCCUGGACACUGAGGAGAGACCUUCAGGGGCACAUGAACCCUAGGAUACGGAUAAGAAACCAACAAGGUUUGCUGCCUACUGUGGCUGCUGCCAGAGAUUUUGGAACCUCAGCCUCAUCACAGACAGCUUGAAGAGACCAUGCCUUGGACUCAGACCAAGGAAGAUGAGCAAAGGCUCAGUAUUCUACAGUAUUGCCCUGAUAUCCAUGUAGUAAAU